rnacentral:rRNA from 1 species
AGUGAACGCUGGCGGCAGGCCUAACACAUGCAAGUCGAGCGGCAGCGGGUCCUUCGGGAUGCCGGCGAGCGGCGGACGGGUGAGGAAUGCGUCGGAAUCUGCCUUUUUGUGGGGGAUAACGUAGGGAAACUUACGCUAAUACCGCAUACGACCUACGGGGGAAAGUGGGGGACCGCAAGGCCUCACGCAGAAAGAUGAGCCGACGUCGGAUUAGCUAGUUGGCGGGGUAAAGGCCCACCAAGGCGACGAUCCGUAGCUGGUCUGAGAGGAUGAUCAGCCACACUGGAACUGAGACACGGUCCAGACUCCUACGGGAGGCAGCAGUGGGGAAUAUUGGACAAUGGGCGCAAGCCUGAUCCAGCCAUGCCGCGUGUGUGAAGAAGGCCUUCGGGUUGUAAAGCACUUUUGUCCGGAAAGAAAUCCUGUCGGCUAAUACCCGGCGGGGAUGACGGUACCGGAAGAAUAAGCACCGGCUAACUUCGUG